UACGUAGGGUGCGAGCGUUAAUCGGAAUUACUGGGCGUAAAGCGUGCGCAGGCGGUGAUGUAAGACAGUUGUGAAAUCCCCGGGCUCAACCUGGGAACUGCAUUUGUGACUGCAAGGCUAGAGUACGGUAGAGGGGGAUGGAAUUCCGCGUGUAGCAGUGAAAUGCGUAGAUAUGCGGAGGAACACCGAUGGCGAAGGCAAUCCCCUGGACCUGUACUGACGCUCAUGCACGAAAGCGUGGGGAGCAAACAGG
rnacentral:rRNA from 1 species